rnacentral:rRNA from 1 species
GACGAACGCUGGCGGCGUGCUUAACACAUGCAAGUCGAGCGGUAAGGCCCUUUCGGGGGUACACGAGCGGCGAACGGGUGAGUAACACGUGGGUGACCUGCCCUCAGCUCUGGGAUAAGCCUGGGAAACCGGGUCUAAUACUGGAUAUGACUCCAUGACGCAUGUUGUGGGGUGGAAAGCCUUGUGCGGCUGAGGAUGGGCCCGCGGCCUAUCAGCUUGUUGGUGGGGUGANGGCCUACCAAGGCGACGACGGGUAGCCGGCCUGAGAGGGCGACCGGCCACACUGGGACUGAGACACGGCCCAGACUCCUACGGGAGGCAGCAGUGGGGAAUCUUGCGCAAUGGGCGAAAGCCUGACGCAGCGACGCCGCGUGGAGGAU